UCAAGGCUGAUUAUACAUGUGUGUGUGUGUGUGUGCGUGCGUGCAGAAUUUUGUAUGAUGAAGUUGUGUGAGAAUGUGAGUGUGUGCAAAGAAAGAUUGGUGAAAGAUGAAUUUGAGUUCAAAAAGCCAUAUGGAGGAGCUGCAUUUCUGCCCGUUAAGGAAAGCUAGCAAUUUUCAAAGUUUCUGACCGUUGCCCUUUCCUUUAGUGCGCCUCACCAAUCCAUAGUUUGAAAUUUCAUUGCUUCUUGUCCCUGCAAUUGCAUCAUUAGGACGCAAAGUGCAUUUUUUUCAUAGUUUAGGGACCGAAAUGACAACUUUAUAUAGUUAGGGGUAAACUGCAAUUUCCUCCCUUUUCAAAAUUUCAAAUCAGAGGGUCUAUUAACGGUCAAAAAAUCGCAUUCUGAUUUCCCCUCGUGCUAUAACGGCUACCCUUCGUUUCUCAUCUCCUCCUACUCUCCUCCACAGUCCAGUAUCAUCUCCGAAGCGCUUUCUCUCUCUCUCAUCAAAUAACCGCAAUCGCGAUGUUCCUCUUCGCUCGCGUAGCGAUAGUGUGAAUCAAAACCUAGAUUUGCCCAAAUCUGGGCAAUGGCGGACUGGGGUUUCUUUCUUUUCGUCUUUCUUGGUCAAAAGCACUGAAAUUGAGAGGUUGAAGCAGGAGCUUCUUGAGGCUAUUGCGCCAUUGGAUCGCGGCGCCGCCGCAACGCCGGAGGAUCAGCAGCGUGUUGAUAAGGCGGACUGGGGUUUCUUUCUUUUCGUCUUUCUUGGUCAAAAGCACUGAAAUUGAGAGGCUGAAGCAGGAGCUUCUUGAGGCUAUUGCGCCAUUGGAUCGCGGCGCCGCCGCAACGCCGGAGGAUCAGCAGCGUGUUGAUAAGAUUGCAGGCAGUGAAGGAACCGCUCAAGAACAAAUCUUCUAAAUGGGAAAUGGGAGCUUUUGUAUACAACAUCCAAAUCAAUUCUUCAAACUGAGGCUACCGCCAAUUUGGUUCCAGAAGAGUAGCUGUUAAAUUUGACGCUUUCAAGAUUGCUGCUGUGAUACCUAUUAAGUCUCGUGGAAGUGGCCGUGGACAAAUUGAAAUUACAUUCUUGGACGAAGAGUUGAGGAUAACAAGGGGCAAUCAAGGGAAGUUGUUCAUAUUGAGAAUGGUGGAUCCAUUGUAUAGGAUACCUCUCCUCUCUAGUAUCUGAGAAAAGUAUGUGUCUGUAAAAGUGUACUUGUAAUUGCAUUUAUAUUAUACAAAAACAUCUUAAUGUAAUUAUGAGAACAUAUCUCCAAGCAAACCUCUGUAACACAGAAAAUAUUUGUUGCAUAAAAUUAGGAGUUUAUUUUCCACAUAAAA